AAACACUCAAGCUCGCUGCCUGCCCCACGUCCCACGGGGCCGCUCCCCAGGAGCGAUGGCAAGAAAGUCAAGGCGGUGCGGACAAGCCUGGGUCUGCUGUGUGCGGAGCUGCGAGGAGGCAGUGGGGGCGAGCCUGCGAAGAAGCGAAGCAAGCUGGAGAGGAGCGUCUAUGCGGGCCUGCAGACUGCCUCCGUGGAGAAGGCGCAGUGUAAGAAGAGCAGCUGUCAGGGCGGGCUGGCGCCCUCCGUGGCCCACAGGGUGGCCCAGCUGAAACCCAAGGUCAAGAGCAAAGGGCUGCCCACAGGCCUCAGCUCUUUCCAGCAGAAGGAGGCUACCCCCGGGGGGCGCAUCCGGGAGAAGCUGUCCCGAGCCAAGAGUGCCAAGGUGUCUGGGGCCACACGGCACCCACAGCCCAAGGGCCACGGCAGCCGGGAGACACCCAGGUGCCCAGCCCAGCCCUCCGUGGCUGCGUCCCAGGAGGCAGGCAAUGGCUAUGACAGUGAGGACUGCGAGGGUCUCCUGGGGACAGAGGCACCACCCAGGGAAGCAGGGCUGCUGCUGCACACCGGGGCCAGUGUGGCCGUGCUGGGGCCCUCACCCUCCUCUGUGGUCAAGAUGGAGGCCAACCAGAAGGCCAAGAAGAAGAAGGAGAGGCAGGGGUUGCUAGGGGCCUGCCGCCUGUCCAGCCCUGAGAGUGAGGUCAAGAUCAAGAGGCGGUCGGUGAAGGCCAAGGUGGGCACCACCCUGGAGCGGGCCCCAGGGCAGAGGCC
rnacentral:lncRNA from 1 species